AGAUUGAACGCUGGCGGCAUGCCUUACACAUGCAAGUCGAACGGCAGCACGGGAGCAAUCCUGGUGGCGAGUGGCGAACGGGUGAGUAAUAUAUCGGAACGUGCCCAGUAAUGGGGGAUAGCCCGGCGAAAGCCGGAUUAAUACCGCAUACGACCUACGGGUGAAAGCGGGGAUCGCAAGACCUCGCGUUAUUGGAGCGGCCGAUAUCAGAUUAGCUUGUUGGCGGGGUAAAAGCCCACCAAGGCAACGAUCUGUAGCUGGUCUGAGAGGACGACCAGCCACACUGGGACUGAGACACGGCCCAGAUCCUACGGGAGCAGCAGUGGGAAUUUGGACAAAUGGGCGACAAGCCUGAAUCCAGCCAUGCCGCGUGUGGAGAAGGCCUUGGGUGUAACACUUUGUCUAGGAAGAAACGCUUUACUAAUAUUAGGGCUAAGUGUACGGUACGUAGAAGUAAUAAGACGACCGACUAACUACGUGACC
rnacentral:rRNA from 1 species